rnacentral:rRNA from 1 species
UGAUCUGCUCCMUGAAAUUAUAAUUUUAAAUAGCUGCAGUAUUUUAACUGCACAAAGGUAGCAUAAUAAAUAGUUUUAUAAUUUAAGGCUGGAAUGAAUGAUUUGAUGAAAUAAUAACUGUCUCAAUUUAAUUAGGGUUAGAAUUUUUUUUUUAGUUAAAAUACUAAAUUAAAAUUAAAAGACGAGAAGACCCUAUAGAAUUUAAUAAUUUAUAUUAUAUAAUUAUUAAUAUAUUAUAAUAUAUAUAUAUAUAUAUAUAUAUAUAAAUUAUUUAAUUGGGGAAAUUAUUAAAUUGAAAAAAUUUUGAUUAAUUUAGAACAAAAAUUAUUGGGUUAUUUAUUUUAAAUUUUAAAAUAAAGAUUAAAUUACCUUAGGGAUAACAGCGUAAUUUUUUUUAUAAGAUCUUAUUAAAAAAGAAGUUUGCGACCUCGAUGUUGAAUUAAAGUAUAAUUUUAAUGAAGAAGUUAAAUAUUUUUGG